UGCAGUCGACGGCAGCACGGACUUCGGUCUGGUGGCGAGUGGCGAACGGGUGAGUAAUAUAUCGGAACGUAUCCAUAAUGGGGGAUAACUAAUCGAAAGGUUGGCUAAUACCGCAUACGCCCUACGGGGGAAAGCUAGGGACCUUCGGGCCUGGCGUUAAUGGAGCGGCCGAUAUCUGAUUAGCUAGUUGGUGGGGUAAAGGCCCACCAAGGCGACGAUCAGUAGCUGGUCUGAGAGGACGACCAGCCACACUGGAACUGAGACACGGUCCAGACUCCUACGGGAGGCAGCAGUGGGGAAUUUUGGACAAUGGGCGCAAGCCUGAUCCAGCCAUUCCGCGUGAGUGAAGAAGGCCUUCGGGUUGUAAAGCUCUUUCGCAAGGGAAGAAAGAUUACUCUCUAACAUAGAGUGAUUAUGACGGUACCUUGAUAAGAAGCACCGGCUAACUACGUGCCGGCAGCCGCGGUAAUACGUAGGGUGCGAGCGUUAAUCGGAAUUACUGGGCGUAAAGCGUGCGCAGGCGGUUUUGUAAGUCAGAUGUGAAAUCCCCGAGCUCAACUUGGGAACUGCGUUUGAAACUACAAGACUAGAAUAUGUCAGAGGGGGGUAGAAUUCCACGUGUAGCAGUGAAAUGCGUAGAGAUGUGGAGGAAUACCAAUGGCGAANGCAGCCCCCUGGGAUAAUAUUGACGCUCAUGCACGAAAGCGUGGGGAGCAAACAGGAUUAGAUACCCUGGUAGUCCACGCCCUAAACGAUGUCUACUAGUUGUUGGUGGAGUAAAAUCCAUGAGUAACGCAGCUAACGCGUGAAGUAGACCGCCUGGGGNNUACGAUCGCAAGAUUAAAACUCAAAUGAAUUGACGGGGGCCCGCACAAGCGGUGGAUUAUGUGGAUUNAUUCGAUGCAACGCGAAAAACCUUACCUG
rnacentral:rRNA from 1 species